CCGUCUAUAUACGUAUAGCAUAUCAAUAAGCGGAGGAAAAGAAACUAACAAGGAUUCCCUUAGUAACGGCGAGUGAAGCGGGAAGAGCUCAAAUUUGAAAUCUUCAAGGUUCUACCUUGACGAAUUGUAGUUUAAAGAAGUGUUUUCUGUUGAAGUUUUGGUAAAAGUUCUUUGGGAUAGGACAUCAUAGAGGGUGAGAAUCCCGUAUUUGGUCAUUCCUCCUAGCGUUGUGAUACACUUUCAACGAGUCGGAUUGUUUGGGAAUGCAGUCCAAAAUGGGUGGUAAAUUUCAUCUAAAGCUAAAUAUUGGCGAGAGACCGAUAGCGAACAAGUACCAUGAGGGAAAGAUGAAAAGAACUUUGAAAAGAGAGUUAAACAGUACGUGAAAUUGUCAAAAGGGAAGCGUUUGACACCAGUGUUGUUUUUCCGAAAAUCAAUUACGAAUGUUUUAUUUUUGAGGAGUUAUGACUUCAUCGGCUUGCUCCUUUCUUUAUGAAACUUUCUUAAUGCACUUUUCGGUUAACAAGUCAACAUCAAUUUCUUUUGUUGUAAAAGGGUAUGAGGAAGGUGGCUUUCUUUUCGGAGAAAGUGUUUAUAGCCUUGUGCCUCUGCAAUCGGAGAGAUUGAGGUCUGCAGCGUAGAUCCUUCGGGGUUAGAUACAUUUGUGCUAAGUUAUAGCUUUUCAUAGACAACUUGUUGACUAUGUUUAGUCUUGUAGCUUACUCGCUUAUGCUAUUUUACCUACGCUUAGGAUGUUGACUGAUAUGUAGUCGUA
rnacentral:rRNA from 1 species